rnacentral:lncRNA from 1 species
AUUAAGUUGCUUCUAAUCAUUGUCAUCGGGUUCAUUAAUUCAUUAUAACAUAGUAGUUGAUAUCCAUGUUUUGUGAUCCCUAUAUUAUGUGCUCUUAUUUUCCUCUGUGGUUGUGUUUCCUGAGAUCUCGGCCACAUGACAUGCUAUUCACUCUAUUUUUUACCCUUUGGUUCUCGAGUUCAUGGCCGUACGACAAGCACUACUUGCAGCUACUUCUCGACCUCAAGACCUCACCGUCAUCUAUUCGGGGGAUUCAACGGAGACAGUAUGACUGGUCAAUUCGUAGGUGAUUGGGUCUCAUUCUAUUCCACACACCCAAGGGGAUGUCGCCGCCGACGUGGACGAACGCCUCCAAAAACAGUAAAAAUAGGCCGUUGACUAUUAUACGUAUUGUACUCAUGGUUACAAUUAAUUAAAACAAGUCUUGAUCAUAUUGU